rnacentral:rRNA from 1 species
GAUGAACGCUGGCGGCGUGCUUAACACAUGCAAGUCGAACGGAAAGGCCCAGGCUUGCUUGGGUACUCGAUUGGCGAACGGGUGAGUAACACAUGGGUGAUCUGCCCUGCACUUCGUGAUAAACCUGGGAAAAUGGGUCUAAUACCGGAUAGGACCACAUUUAGGGCGGGGUUGUGGAAAGUUUUUCGGUUUGGGAUGAGCUCGCGGCCGAUCAGCGUGUGGGUGGGGUAAUGGCCUACCAAGGCGUCGACGGGUAGCCGGCCUGCGAGGGUGUACGGCCACAUUGGAACUGUGAGGCGGCCCAGACUCCGAAGUGUUGCGGCAGUGGGGAAUAUUGCACAAUGCGCGGAAGCCUGAGGCAGCGAGGCCGCGUGGGGGAUGACGGCCUUCGGGUUGUAAGCACCUUUCGCUAGGGAAGAAGCGUUUUUGUGACGGUACCUGGAGAAGAAGCACCGGCUAACUACGUG